GGUGCGGCAUGCUUACUAUGCAGUCGAACGGAAAGGCCCCUUCGGGGGUACUCGAGUGGCGAACGGGUGAGUAACACGUGGGCAAUCUGCCCUGCACUUCGGGAUAAGCCUGGGAAACUGGGUCUAAUACCGGAUAGGACCUUUAGGCGCAUGUCUUUAGGUGGAAAGCUUUUGCGGUGUGGGAUGGGCCCGCGGCCUAUCAGCUUGUUGGUGGGGUGAUGGCCUACCAAGGCGACGACGGGUAGCCGGCCUGAGAGGGUGUCCGGCCACACUGGGACUGAGAUACGGCCCAGACUCCUACGGGAGGCAGCAGUGGGGAAUAUUGCACAAUGGGCGCAAGCCUGAUGCAGCGACGCCGCGUGGGGGAUGACGGCCUUCGGGUUGUAAACCUCUUUCACCAUCGACGAAGGUCCGGGUUUUCUCGGAUUGACGGUAGGUGGAGAAGAAGCACCGGCCAACUACGUGCCAGCAGCCGCGGUAAUACGUAGGGUGCGAGCGUUGUCCGGAAUUACUGGGCGUAAAGAGCUCGUAGGUGGUUUGUCGCGUUGUUCGUGAAAUCUCACGGCUUAACUGUGAGCGUGCGGGCGAUACGGGCAGACUAGAGUACUGCAGGGGAGACUGGAAUUCCUGGUGUAGCGGUGGAAUGCGCAGAUAUCAGGAGGAACACCGGUGGCGAAGGCGGGUCUCUGGGCAGUAACUGACGCUGAGGAGCGAAAGCGUGGGGAGCGAACAGGAUUAGAUACCCUGGUAGUCCACGCCGUACACGGUGGGUACUAGGUGUGGGUUUCCUUCCUUGGGAUCCGUGCCGUAGCUACGCAUUAAGUACCCCGCCUGGGGAGUACAGCCGCAGGCUAAAACUCAAGGAUUGACUGGGGCCCGCACAAGCGGCGGAGCAUGUGGAUUAAUUCGAUGCAACGCGAGAACCUUACCUGGGUUUGACAUGCACAGGACGCGUCUAGAGAUAGCGUCUGCGU
rnacentral:rRNA from 1 species